rnacentral:lncRNA from 1 species
GCCACCCCCUGCUCCACGGCGCCCAGUCCCAUCGACCACCCAAGGGCUGAGGAGUGCGGGCACACGGCACCGGGACUGGCAGGCACGUCCGCCUGCAGCCCCGUGCGGGAUCCACUGGGUGAAGCCUGCUGGGCUCCUGAGUCUGGUGGGGACGUGGAGAACCUUUAUGUUAACCUUUAUGUUAACAUGAACCUUUAUGACACUGACCUUGCCAACUGUGUGGGACCUGGUUGAGGCCUCUUGCCACCAGCUAUCUCCAACUUUCCUGGCCAACUAUAUAAUACAGUAGAGGCAACGAAAAUCCCCUCUAGAACAUAACCUCAUUGUCCUGAGAACCACCACCAUCCACCACAAUGGCUGCAGCAAGCCCCGCCCAAGAUAUUUUCUAAAGAUGGAAAGACACAUUCUGCCAUAUAGCUACUAUUUGCUUCCACAUCUGUUAUCUGCUCGUCUCCCCUCAACUCCGUAUCUCAAGAGACUGACCUGCUUGGAUUGCGUCAAGGGCUCUGGCUUAGGACAGACCUCAGCUAACUAUGGGACUUGGCAGGAGAUCCAGCAGCAGGAGGAAAGUGAGAAAAUCUACAGUGAGGCAGUAUAAAAGGAAGAACAAAGAAACGGGAAGGAGGAAACAAGGAAGAAACAAAACCAUAAAGUAUCUGAAGAGUACAAUAUGAUUACUAUGCAAGUGUUUU